rnacentral:rRNA from 1 species
UACGUAGGGUGCGAGCGUUGUCCGGAAUUAUUGGGCGUAAAGAGCUCGUAGGCGGUCUGUUGCGUCUGCCGUGAAAACCCGAGGCUUAACCUCGGGCCUGCGGUGGAUACGGGCAGACUAGAGGUAGGUAGGGGAGAAUGGAAUUCCCGGUGUAGCGGUGAAAUGCGCAGAUAUCGGGAGGAACACCGGUGGCGAAGGCGGUUCUCUGGGCCUUACCUGACGCUGAGGAGCGAAAGCGUGGGGAGCGAACAGG